GAUGAACGCUGGCGGCGUGCCUAAUACAUGCAAGUCGAGCGAUGCGGGGACGGGUGAGGAACACGUGGAUAACCUCCUCUAAGACUGGGAUAACUGCGGGAAACCGGAGCUAAACCGGAUAUUUGUAGAUGGAUCCGCGAUGGAUUAGCUAGUUGGUAGGGUAACGGCUUACAAAGGCAACCAUGCAUAGACGACCUGAGAGGGUGAUCGGCCAAACUGGAAUUGAGACACGGUCCAGACUCCUACGGGAGGCAGCAGUAGGGAAUCUUCCGCAAUGGGCGAAAGCCUGACGGAGCAACGCCGCGUGAGUGAUGAAGGUUUUCGGAUCGUAAAACUCUGUUAUUAGGGAAGCGGUACCUAAUCAGAAAGCCACGGCUAACUACGUGCCAGCCGCCGCGGUAAUUC
rnacentral:rRNA from 1 species